GGGAAUCCGGGAUACGCGUUAGAG
rnacentral:siRNA from 1 species